rnacentral:rRNA from 1 species
CACGUAGGGCGCAAGCGUUGUCCGGAAUUAUUGGGCGUAAAGAGCUCGUAGGUGGUUUGUUACGUCUGCUGUGAAAACCUAGGGCUUAACCCUGGGCUUGCAGUGGAUACGGGCAGACUAGAGGUAGGUAGGGGAGAAUGGAAUUCCUGGUGUAGCGGUGAAAUGCGCAGAUAUCAGGAGGAACACCUAUGGCGAAGGCAGCUCUCUGGGACGGUACUGACGCUGAGACGCGAAAGCGUGGGGAGCGAACAGG